rnacentral:rRNA from 1 species
CCGCGAAAUAACGACCGUGCUGAAUCGAAUGAUGCUAAACACGCAAGAGACUGCGGCGGACUUCGGUCCAAGCAGUUUUGAGUCUGUGACCCGAUUUCGUAUUAGGCAAGCUGCGGAGGGACGCAGGAAGGUAGCCCAUCCCGGGCGAUGGUAGUCCCGGACUAAGUGCGUAGGGAGAGAUGUAGGCAAAUCCGCAUCUCACAUAUCCUGAGACAUGACGGCGAGGAAGUCUCUGACUUCUGAAGUGGGUGAUCCUAUGCUGCCUAGAAAAUCUUCGUUAGCGAGUUAUCAGCGGCCCGUACCCUAAACCGACACAGGUGGAUAGGUAGAGAAUACCAAGGCGAUCGAGAGAAUCAUGGUGAAGGAACUCGGCAAAAUACCCCCGUAACUUCGGGAUAAGGGGGACCUAAUUUGUGAUGGCACUUGCUGCCUGAGCAUUGAGGGUCGCAGAGACCAGGCCCAAGCGACUGUUUACUAAAAACACAGGUCCGUGCCAAGUUGAAAGACGAUGUAUACGGACUGACUCCUGCCCGGUGCUGGAAGGUUAAGGGGAAGUGUCAGCGCAAGCGAAGCACCGAACUUAAGCCCCAGUAAACGGCGGUGGUAACUAUAACCAUCCUAAGGUAGCGAAAUUCCUUGUCGGGUAAGUUCCGACCUGCACGAAUGGAGUAACGACUUGGGCGCUGUCUCCACCAUGAACUCGGCGAAAUUGCACUAUGAGUAAAGAUGCUCAUUACGCGCAGCAGGACGGAAAGACCCCGGGACCUUUACUAUAGUUUGGUAUUGGUGUUCGGUACAGCUUGUGUAGGAUAGGUGGGAGACUGUGAAGCAUGGACGCCAGUUCGUGUGGAGUCAACGUUGAAAUACCACUCUGGCUGUUCUGGAUAUCUAACCUAGGUCCAUUAUCUGGAUCAGGGACAGUGCCUGAUGGGUAGUUUGACUGGGGCGGUCGCCUCCCAAAAUGUAACGGAGGCGCCCAAAGGUUCCCCCAGCCUGGUUGGCAAUCAGGUUUUGAGUGUAAGUGCACAAGGGAGCUUGACUGUGAGAGGGACACCUCGAACAGGGACGAAAGUCGGGACUAGUGAUCUGACGGUGGCAUGUGGAAGCGCCGUCACUCAACGGAUAAAAGGUACCCCGGGGAUAACAGGCUGAUCUUGCCCGAGCGUCCAUAGCGACGGCAUGGUUUGGCACCUCGAUGUCGGCUCGUCGCAUCCUGGGGCUGGAGUCGGUCCCAAGGGUUGGGCUGUUCGCCCAUUAAAGCGGCACGCGAGCUGGGUUUAGAACGUCGUGAGACAGUUCGGUCCCUAUCCGCUGCGCGCGUAGGAAUCUUGAGAGAGGCUGUCCUUAGUACGAGAGGACCGGGACGGACAAACCUCUGGUGUGCCAGUUGUUCUGCCAAGGGCACGGCUGGUUGGCUACGUUUGGAAGUGAUAACCGCUGAAAGCAUCUAAGCGGGAAGCACGUCUCAAGAUGAGGGUUCCCACAGAAUAAUCUGGUAAGGCCCCCGGAAGACCAC